CUUCCAACACCUAGAUACCUGUAUUUUUCCAAAGUCUCGGUUUGGGAGUAAUCUCCUAACGCAUUACAGCUCCUUUGGACUGGGUAUGCCUCUGACUUCAUGGUUGUAAACACUAACCCGCAACAACAACAACUUAACUUUUUAAGACUCCUUUGCAACCAGAAGUUGCCAUGUGACCCAGUUCUGGCCAUGAGACAUAAACGGUAGUCAACUGAUGCUCACUUUUCCUCUUCUCCUCUCUCUCUGGUUGGAAUACAGAUGCUAUGCCUGAGAAGCAGCAGUCAUCUUGUAAACAUGAGGACUGGAAUAUACUUGCUAUAGACAGCAGCGAAAGAAGAGAAAAGUAGUCUGAGUCCUGUGUGGCAUGAUUGAGCCAUUCGACCAUUGCUGGAUGUCCUGUCUUGUUGUGGGAGAUAAAUAAACCCUCAUGUAUUUAAACUACAAUCAGUCAAGUUUUCUAUUACUUGCAGCUGAGCACUACCCAAACUAACACAAGGAGACAAACAUUGAGCAAUACGAAAAAAACAAAUGUAGAACUAUAAAUACCAAUAAAUGCCACACUAGAGAAGUACAGGGCACCAUGAGAAUGUAAACUCAGGCACCUGACCAUGUCUGUGGGGCAAGUAAGGCUUUGCUGAGGAAAUGACAUUAGAUCUCAAUAACUAGGGGCUAGAGGGGGCGGAGUCAAGAUGGCGGUGUGGGAAGACGCCAAGUUAGCAUCUCCCCACAACUAGGGUGACUGCCGGCCACUGGUGGGGCACCCUGAUGCCCAAGGAGAUGGGAGGAACCCCCAAGUGAACUGCCAGGGGUCGGGCGAAGCUCCUGAGGUGGGAGCUCCGAGUCCGAACCACUGGACUAACAGAGAACCUCAGACCCCAGGGAAUAUUCACUGGAGUGAUGUAUCAUGGAGGUCCUCACCUCAGCACCAAGACUCAGCUCUACCCAACAGCCUACAAACUCCAGUGUUGGAAGCCUCAGGCCAAACAACCAGUAAGACGGGAACACAAUCCUACUCAGAA